GUUGACCAUCAUCUACACGGUGAGGUAGUUCAGCAGCAGGUGAAACUGAUAACUUGUAGUUGCGUUGACCAUCAUCUGCACGGUGAGGUAGUUCAGCCAUAGGUGAAACUGAUGACUUGUAGUUGCGUUGACCAGCAUCUAUACGGUGAGGUAGUUCAUUAGUGGCAGGUAAAGCUGAUAACUUGUAGUUGCGUUGGCCAUCAUCUACACGGUGAGGUAGUUCAGCCACAGGUGAAACUGAUGACUUGUAGUUGCGUUGACCAGCAUCCGUACGGUGAGGUAGUUCAUUAGUGGCAGGUAAAGCUGAUAACUUGUAGUUGCGUUGACCAUCAUCUACACGGUGAGGUAGUUCAGCCACAGGUGAAACUGAUGACUUGUAGUUGCGUUGACCAGCAUCCGUANGGUGAGGUAGUUCAUUAGUGGCAGGUAAAGCUGAUAACUUGUAGUUGCGUUGACCAUCAUCUACACGGUGAGAUAGUUCAGCCAUAGGUGAAACUGAUGACUUGUAGUUGCGUUGACCAGCAUCCGUANGGUGAGGUAGUUCAUUAGUGGCAGG
rnacentral:lncRNA from 1 species